AUUGAACGCUGGCGGCAUGCCUUACACAUGCAAGUCGAACGGCAGCACGGGAGCUUGCUCCUGGUGGCGAGUGGCGAACGGGUGAGUAAUACAUCGGAACGUACCCUGAAGUGGGGGAUAACGUAGCGAAAGUUACGCUAAUACCGCAUAUUCUGUGAGCAGGAAAGAGGGGGAUCGCAAGACCUCUUGCUUUAGGAGCGGCCGAUGUCGGAUUAGCUAGUUGGUGAGGUAAAGGCUUACCAAGGCGACGAUCUGUAGCGGGUCUGAGAGGAUGGUCCGCCACACUGGAACUGAGACACGGUCCAGACUCCUACGGGAGGCAGCAGUGGGGAAUUUUGGACAAUGGGGGCAACCCUGAUCCAGCCAUGCCGCGUGAGUGAAGAUGGCCU
rnacentral:rRNA from 1 species